UACGGAGGGGGCUAGCGUUGUUCGGAAUUACUGGGCGUAAAGCGCACGUAGGCGGCUUUGCAAGUCAGAGGUGAAAGCCCGGGGCUCAACCCCGGAACUGCCUUUAAGACUGCAUCGCUUGAAUCCAGGAGAGGUGAGUGGAAUUCCGAGUGUAGAGGUGAAAUUCGUAGAUAUUCGGAAGAACACCAGUGGCGAAGGCGGCUCACUGAGCUGGUAUUGACGCUGAGGCACGAAGGCCAGGGGAGCAAACGGG
rnacentral:rRNA from 1 species